rnacentral:sRNA from 1 species
GCCAGGCACAGUGGCGCUUGCCUGUAAUCCCAGUGGCCGGGGAGGCUGAGGCAGGAGGAUCACGAGUGCAAAGUCAGCCUCAGCAAAAGUGAGGCACUAAGCAACUCAGUGAGACCCUGACUCUA